rnacentral:snRNA from 1 species
GUGCUCCCUUCAGCAGCACAUAUACUAACAUUGGAACGAUACAGAGAAGACUAGUAUGGCCCCUGCGCAAGGAUGACACACAAAUUCGUGAAGUAUUCCACGUUUUU